rnacentral:rRNA from 1 species
UACGUAGGGUGCGAGCGUUGUCCGGAAUUAUUGGGCGUAAAGGGCUCGUAGGCGGUCUGUCACGUCGGGAGUGAAAACUCAGGGCUUAACCCUGAGCCUGCUUCCGAUACGGGCAGACUAGAGUGCUGUAGGGGAGACUGGAAUUCCUGGUGUAGCGGUGAAAUGCGCAGAUAUCAGGAGGAACACCGGUGGCGAAGGCGGGUCUCUGGGCAGUAACUGACGCUGAGGAGCGAAAGCGUGGGGAGCGAACAGG